GAUGAACGCUGGCGGCGUGCCUAAUACAUGCAAGUAGAACGCUGAAGGAAGGAGCUUGCUCUUUCCGGAUGAGUUGCGAACGGGUGAGUAACGCGUAGGUAACCUGCCUGGUAGCGGGGGAUAACUAUUGGAAACGAUAGCUAAUACCGCAUAACAGUAGAUGUUGCAUGAUAUCUACUUAAAAGGUGCAAUUGCACCACUACCAGAUGGACCUGCGUUGUAUUAGCUAGUUGGUGAGGUAACGGCUCACCAAGGCGACGAUACAUAGCCGACCUGAGAGGGUGAUCGGCCACACUGGGACUGAGACACGGCCCAGACUCCUACGGGAGGCAGCAGUAGGGAAUCUUCGGCAAUGGACGGAAGUCUAACCGAGCAACGCCGCGUGAGUGAAGAAGGUUUUCGGAUCGUAAAGCUCUGUUGUAAGAGAAGAACGAGUGUGAGAGUGGAAAGUUCACACUGUGACGGUAUCUUACCAGAAAGGGACGGCUAACUACGUG
rnacentral:rRNA from 1 species